rnacentral:rRNA from 1 species
UACGAAGGGGGCUAGCGUUGCUCGGAAUGACUGGGCGUAAAGGGCGCGUAGGCGGUUUGGACAGUCAGAUGUGAAAAUUCCUGGGCUCAACCUGGGGGGCUGCAUUUGAUACGUUCGGACUAGAGUGGGGAAGAGGGUCGUGGAAUUCCCAGUGUAGAGGUGAAAUUCGUAGAUAUUGGGAAGAACACCGGUGGCGAAGGCGGCGACCUGGUCCUUGACUGACGCUGAGGCGCGAAAGCGUGGGGGAGCAAACAGG